rnacentral:rRNA from 1 species
GACGAACGCUGGCGGCGUGCUUAACACAUGCAAGUCGAACGAAGAGCGAUGGAAGCUUGCUUCUAUCAAUCUUAGUGGCGAACGGGUGAGUAACGCGUAAUCAACCUGCCCUUCAGAGGGGGACAACAGUUGGAAACGACUGCUAAUACCGCAUACGAUCUAAUCUCGGCAUCGAGGAUGGAUGAAAGGUGGCCUCUAUUUAUAAGCUAUCACUGAAGGAGGGGAUUGCGUCUGAUUAGCUAGUUGGAGGGGUAACGGCCCACCAAGGCGAUGAUCAGUAGCCGGUCUGAGAGGAUGAACGGCCACAUUGGGACUGAGGCACGGCCCAGACUCCUACGGGAGGCAGCAGUGGGGAAUCUUCCGCAAUGGACGAAAGUCUGACGGAGCAACGCCGCGUGAGUGAUGACGGCCUUCGGGUUGUAAAGCUCUGUUGAUCGGGACGAAAGGCCUUCUUGCGAAUAGUUAGAAGGAUUGACGGCACCGGAAUAGAAAGCCACGGCUAACUACGUGCCAGCAGCCGCGGUAAUACGUAGGUGGCAAGCGUUGUCCGGAAUUAUUGGGCGUAAAGCGCGCGCAGGCGGAUUGGUCAGUCUGUCUUAAAAGUUCGGGGCUUAACCCCGUGAUGGGAUGGAAACUGCCAAUCUAGAGUAUCGGAGAGGAAAGUGGAAUUCCUAGUGUAGCGGUGAAAUGCGUAGAUAUUAGGAAGAACACCAGUGGCGAAGGCGACUUUCUGGACGAAAACUGACGCUGAGGCGCGAAAGCCAGGGGAGCGAACGGGAUUAGAUACCCCGGUAGUCCUGGCCGUA